GCGGCUGACUCAGUGGGAGUGGGAAGGUCAGGACCCCUCAGGCCUCCUGGGCCCUGGCUCACUGAGCCCUGCUGUCUGCAACACUUGGAGUUGUGUACUUGAUGGAAAGGUCAGAGCCAAGGAGAAACAUUCCAGAAUCAUCUGUGCAGCAGGGUCUCUGGGGAGACAAAUCAACUCUAAGACUGCCACAGGAUGGACAAUAGAGUAAAGAGCCACUGGACAGGAGAAGGACCUACUCUUCCAUCUCUCCAAAGUGACAUUCCUCGGACCUAUGCACCCAACACAGUCUCCCAUCAAGAGUGACUGCGUUUUCUCGAGUCUGGAGUUGAUCUUACUCUUGGCCAACCUUGAUACCUCAGGCCAAUGACACUGUGCUUCUAUUACUCCAGACACAGGGGAAUCUCAGCCCCACAGUUUCUUUGUAAGCCUGGCAACUGUUUUGAGUUUGCCUUAUCCUUAGCAGGCUCAGCUAUGAAUUGUGUAUACAGCUUCCCUAUCAUAAGAUCUCACCAGGGAGCAACUGGCCUGGGGAAGCUGAACUGGGAGGGACUGAGUCAGCAAAAGGCACGGUCAGAGCAGGCAGGCUGGAGGGGGUGGGAGGGGAAGGAGUGCAUGCUGACAUCAGCAGAAAGUAUGAUGAAAAUGAGGCAAUACAUAUUUACAUGGUGUGUUUGCCUUCAACAUCGUGCAGGAAACAAGGAGCACCUAACUUCCUCCAUCGGCCCACCUCAGACCUCUCAGUCUAGGGCAAGCAAGUGCCGGCAAGGGCAAAUGUCACAGAGUGUUAGGGAAUGAAAGCAGACUAAUAUUUACAAUAUGUCUGAUAUGAGACAUGUAUUUUCGUAUCUGCUUUGAAAAGCAAACCUCCGCCAUAGCUAUCACUAACCCCUACAUUACAGAUAAGGAAAAUUUUGCUCGGAGAAAUGAAGCUUAAAGUCCUGCUCCUGGGAGGGGCAAAAUGAGGUUCAGUCCUGGGUCUCACUGGAAGGCAUAAUGCACUUUCCCUUGUCAUAUUAGAGGGUGUGAAGCUCUACCUACCGGAGGGUCUCGACGGCAGCCAUUGUGAGAAACGGGCAUUUCAGGGAGAUAAAAACUGAGAUGUUUGGAUACUUCCAAUUAUCCUAAAAAUACAUUUGCUUAAGCAAAUCUUCUCUGUUGGCAAAUCGUCUCUCCUGAGGGAAUACAAUCUCAUAAGCUUGGUUUAAAACAGUUCCUAAUAUAUAUGGCAUAAAUAUUUCUCUUGUGGCCCAUUUCAUGCUGUCAAAUUUAACAGUUGGCUUACCAGAUCUGAAAAAUGUACUGACCAAUCAGCUUACCGGAGCUGGGAGAUGGAUGCUUUCCCAUUGCAGUGAGACCCCGGAGUCCCACUCUGCAGUAACUGACAGGUGUGGUUUAGGGACAUAAAAUCUGACACUGUGAAGCGUCAUCUAGAUUAGAGAUCUCUGGUGAAGACCUUGCUGUUCCUGCUGCCAGGGAUGUGAUAAGUCUAUUCAAAGGCUGCCAAGGAGACAGAGCCACUUCUCCCAGGGUCACACCCUAUCCAGAACAUCUCCUAUCCAGGCACAGAAUAAGGUUUGGUGUUGAGGUUUGGUCUGUUGCUAUGUAUUGUAAUACUAACUGUGGGCUCCCCGAGGCCUGGUUGCCCCAGAGAUUUGAGAGAGAGUCUACAGUUAGACCCAAGUGAUGCUAUGUAACCUUACCUCCCAAGUUAUCUCUGAUUGGUGAAUAAAGAUACCUGCAGCCAAUAGCUGGGCAGAAUAGAGA
rnacentral:lncRNA from 1 species